GAUUUCUGACGAACCGGAGUGGCCCGUUUCCUUUCAGGGAAUGAGUGCCGCUUUGAGUUUGUCAUCCUUCCAGAGAGCUGCGUCUACCGUUUAUUCGGCCGGACGUAUGCGAUCUGGAUCUAUUACUUUGAAAACAUUAGAGUGUUUCAAGCAGGCUUUAUGCUAUGAAUACAUUAGCAUGGAAUAAUAAUUUAGGACUUCGGUUCUAUUUUGUUGGUUUCUAGGACUGAAGUAAUGAUUGAUAGGGACAGUUGGGGGUGCUAGUAUUCAGCGGCCAGAGGUGAAAUUCUCGGAUUCGCUGAAGACUAACUUAUGCGAAAGCAUU
rnacentral:rRNA from 1 species